rnacentral:rRNA from 1 species
GACGAAGGGGGCUAGCGUUGUUCGGAAUUACUGGGCGUAAAGGGCGCGUAGGCGGCCUCUUAAGUCGAACGUGAAAUCCCCGGGCUCAACCCGGGAACUGCGUCCGAUACUGGGAGGCUUGAAUCCGGGAGAGGGAUGUGGAAUUCCAGGUGUAGCGGUGAAAUGCGCAGAUAUCGGGAAGAACACCCGUGGCGAAGGCGGCUCUCUGGGACGGUACUGACGCUGAGACGCGAAAGCGUGGGGAGCGAACAGG